rnacentral:rRNA from 1 species
AGUACCGUGAGGGAAAGGCGAAAAGAACCCCGGCGAGGGGAGUGAAAAAGAACCUGAAACCGUGUACGUACAAGCAGUGGGAGCCUCUUAAUGGGGUGACUGCGUACCUUUUGUAUAAUGGGUCAGCGACUUAUAUUCUGUAGCAAGGUUAACCGAAUAGGGGAGCCGAAGGGAAACCGAGUCUUAACUGGGCGUUAAGUUGCAGGGUAUAGACCCGAAACCCGGUGAUCUAGCCAUGGGCAGGUUGAAGGUUGGGUAACACUAACUGGAGGACCGAACCGACUAAUGUUGAAAAAUUAGCGGAUGACUUGUGGCUGGGGGUGAAAGGCCAAUCAAACCGGGAGAUAGCUGGUUCUCCCCGAAAGCUAUUUAGGUAGCGCCUCGUGAAUUCAUCUCCGGGGGUAGAGCACUGUUUCGGCAAGGGGGUCAUCCCGACUUACCAACCCGAUGCAAACUGCGAAUACCGGAGAAUGUUAUCACGGGAGACACACGGCGGGUGCUAACGUCCGUCGUGAAGAGGGAAACAACCCAGACCGCCAGCUAAGGUCCCAAAGUCAUGGUUAAGUGGGAAACGAUGUGGGAAGGCCCAGACAGCCAGGAUGUUGGCUUAGAAGCAGCCAUCAUUUAAAGAAAGCGUAAUAGCUCACUGGUCGAGUCGGCCUGCGCGGAAGAUGUAACGGGGCUAAACCAUGCACCGAAGCUGCGGCAGCGACACUAUGUGUUGUUGGGUAGGGGAGCGUUCUGUAAGCCUGUGAAGGUGUACUGUGAGGUAUGCUGGAGGUAUCAGAAGUGCGAAUGCUGACAUAAGUAACGAUAAAGCGGGUGAAAAGCCCGCUCGCCGGAAGACCAAGGGUUCCUGUCCAACGUUAAUCGGGGCAGGGUGAGUCGACCCCUAAGGCGAGGCCGAAAGGCGUAGUCGAUGGGAAACAGGUUAAUAUUCCUGUACUUGGUGUUACUGCGAAGGGGGGACGGAGAAGGCUAUGUUGGCCGGGCGACGGUUGUCCCGGUUUAAGCGUGUAGGCUGGUUUUCCAGGCAAAUCCGGAAAAUCAAGGCUGAGGCGUGAUGACGAGGCACUACGGUGCUGAAGCGACAAAUGCCCUGCUUCCAGGAAAAGCCUCUAAGCAUCAGGUAACAUCAAAUCGUACCCCAAACCGACACAGGUGGUCAGGUAGAGAAUACCAAGGCGCUUGAGAGAACUCGGGUGAAGGAACUAGGCAAAAUGGUGCCGUAACUUCGGGAGAAGGCACGCUGAUAUGUAGGUGAAGCGACUUGCUCGUGGAGCUGAAAUCAGUCGAAGAUACCAGCUGGCUGCAACUGUUUAUUAAAAACACAGCACUGUGCAAACACGAAAGUGGACGUAUACGGUGUGACGCCUGCCCGGUGCCGGAAGGUUAAUUGAUGGGGUUAGCGGUAACGCGAAGCUCUUGAUCGAAGCCCCGGUAAACGGCGGCCGUAACUAUAACGGUCCUAAGGUAGCGAAAUUCCUUGUCGGGUAAGUUCCGACCUGCACGAAUGGCGUAAUGAUGGCCAGGCUGUCUCCACCCGAGACUCAGUGAAAUUGAACUCGCUGUGAAGAUGCAGUGUACCCGCGGCAAGACGGAAAGACCCCGUGAACCUUUACUAUAGCUUGACACUGAACAUUGAGCCUUGAUGUGUAGGAUAGGUGGGAGGCUUUGAAGUGUGGACGCCAGUCUGCAUGGAGCCGACCUUGAAAUACCACCCUUUAAUGUUUGAUGUUCUAACGUGGGCCCCUUACCGGGGUUGCGGACAGUGUCUGGUGGGUAGUUUGACUGGGGCGGUCUCCUCCUAAAGAGUAACGGAGGAGCACGAAGGUUGGCUAAUCCUGGUCGGACAUCAGGAGGUUAGUGCAAUGGCAUAAGCCAGCUUGACUGCGAGCGUGACGGCGCGAGCAGGUGCGAAAGCAGGUCAUAGUGAUCCGGUGGUUCUGAAUGGAAGGGCCAUCGCUCAACGGAUAAAAGGUACUCCGGGGAUAACAGGCUGAUACCGCCCAAGAGUUCAUAUCGACGGCGGUGUUUGGCACCUCGAUGUCGGCUCAUCACAUCCUGGGGCUGAAGUAGGUCCCAAGGGUAUGGCUGUUCGCCAUUUAAAGUGGUACGCGAGCUGGGUUUAGAACGUCGUGAGACAGUUCGGUCCCUAUCUGCCGUGGGCGCUGGAGAACUGAGGGGGGCUGCUCCUAGUACGAGAGGACCGGAGUGGACGCAUCACUGGUGUUCGGGUUGUCAUGCCAAUGGCACUGCCCGGUAGCUAAAUGCGGAAGAGAUAAGUGCUGAAAGCAUCUAAGCACGAAACUUGCCCCGAGAUGAGUUCUCCCUGACUCCUUGAGAGUCCUGAAGGAACGUUGAAGACGACGACGUUGAUAGGCCGGGUGUGUAAGCGCAGCGAUGCGUUGAGCUAACCGGUACUAAUGAACCGUGAGGCUUAACCUUACAACGCCGAAG